rnacentral:rRNA from 1 species
UACAGAGGUCCCAAGCGUUGUUCGGAUUCACUGGGCGUAAAGGGUGCGUAGGUGGUGAGGUAAGUCGGAUGUGAAAGCUCGGAGCUCAACUCCGAAAUGGCAUUGGAAACUACCUUGCUCGAGGGUUGGAGGGGGGACUGGAAUACUUGGUGUAGCAGUGAAAUGCGUAGAUAUCAAGUGGAACACCAGUGGCGAAGGCGAGUCCCUGGACAAGCUCCUGACACUGAGGCAACGAAAGCUAGGGGAGCAAACAGG